UAUUCAUUGAAUUGCUCGAAACUUGACAUCCUCUUGAAAUUUUAGCCUUUCAAUGUCAGUUUUAAUGAUCAACUAUCUUUUUGAGUUUCAUUCUCACAAUGUUUAUUUACUUCAUCUUACCUUUUUAAAGAGGAUAAUUUUAGCUGAUUAAUAUUUAGUCGAGUCAACUUGAAUUUAUCUUUUUAAAAUUCAAAUAUUAAGAAAAAUCAUGCGACACUCUUGAUGAAUCUAACAACGUGAAUGUGUUUCAAUAUUUAAGUGACUCUUAAAAGCUACUUUCAUGGUAAAAAAAUGGUUGGAACUGAUGAUCCGGAUAAAAAAUGAAGUGAAACUGAAUUACCCAUUAGUCAAGAAUGAAUAGCCUUUAUUUUCGAUAUUCAUAUUGACCAUUAUCAACGCCAAGAAAGAUCUUAUCAUUAAGAUUUACCGAAAGUCUUGGAUCCAUCUUCGUUCUUUAUUGUCGACUAAUUGUAUGGAUUUCAUCCUUUAUGGAAGUAUUUAUACUUUAUUAACAUCCACCAGUGUAUCCACAGAAAGCUUUGUCUUACCAGAGGAUUCUCAGAAUGGGUCGAGCUACAUUAAAAUUUCUUGAAAUCAUCGAUAGUUUUACUGAAUGUAUGGUUAAGUUGAUGGUACUCCUGGUACCACGAAUAAUAUUAUUGCUUGAACAUCCGACUUUUCAUAUGAGCUUCACAUCGACAUUGUGUUUCAACAUCAUUUCAUAAAUCAAAUUUAGUAUGAUUCGCAUCUUGUACAGAUAUGAAUCAAUGUGCCUUCAGUCGAUUCUGGAAAUUUAACCAUUUGGUCAACAAUUACUGAGAAAAAAGUUGAAGAGGAAUACAAAGUGCUGGCUUACCUUCAAGUCCUUACCAUGUGAUAAAAUGAAGAGUUAAACAAAUUGGCCAACAAAUAAUGUUAAUCAAUGAUCAAAACUAAUCAAUCUUUUGUUGGCCUUUUUACGUCCAUUCCUAUAGAUUUUUUUGUUGGUACCGUAAAUUGAAAUACAUCAGUGGAUAAGCAAAUGAAAAAAAGGAUGAAAAGAGGAAGAAGAGAAACGAGAUGUUACAGGUCAAAGAGACUGAUGUGAAGCUGAUGAUGAUGGCAAGUGAUGCUUUGGCUCUCCAGGGAUGCUGACUUAUUCACAUCUCUAUCACCGUGUAACUGAAUAAGAUUGGGAAUAGCUCAAGGCGCAAUCAGAAAAGUCACUUUCUCACCCAAAUUAUCGCACCUUAAUUGAUUUUCCCAUUAUCACAAUCAUCUUCUGUAAGACAACAAGAGAAAUCUCAGCUUUGAAUACAAGGUAUGAUAAUGAGGCCAAAAAUGCCAAACAAAACGCCAAAGGUUCUUUUCGUAUCAUUGAUAAUUCAUAAAAAUAUCAUUUUCUGGCUAAAAAUAGACUUGAAAUAUCAAAAGCUAUUUGCUAGACACAAUAAAUGGAGCAAGAUGUCCAGUUAUGAAAACCAGUAAACCACUGUUUACCUAAUUUUACCUAAAAUCUCUCUCUGGUAAAACCGUUAAAGUAUUGAAAGAGUCAAAUUGACUAACUAUUUGGAGGAAAAGAAAGAUAAAUUGCUGAUUAAAUGAAUUAGUCGAUCGUGAGAAUUGGAUUUAUUGAGGAAAACUCGGUCAGUGUGAAACCUAAAAUGGAUAUAUUGACAAUUUUCAAUGAUUGAGAUGAGUCUUGGAUGACAAAUAUCGGUCCAAUUCACUUUUAAUGUUGACCAUUUUUGUUUCAAAUUUACUCGUUGUGAUAUCAGGCGACAGUUGACCAAAGGUCCAAUGUAAAUGUUGACCAUCCUUUUGUUACCAUCACCAAUUGACCCCUUUUAUUGACCCAACAUUUACCCUUUUAAAGUUACCCAGUAAACUUUCACUUUCAACCUUUA